ensembl:ncRNA F26D11.20 ncRNA
CUGGCUUCUUCAUCUUCUCAACCAGCUGCCGAACAGGACUGUGUUUCGUGUAAGAUCAUCGGAACGGCCAGUCUAUUCGGCAUCGGUUGCUACAUAAUUUUUGCCACAAGACCAAUCGGAUACUAUGCAACAAGGCCUGUAACUCGACAAAUAAUUCGAUCCUUAUCAGCAGUUCCAUUCUACGCAUCAAUCGCUCGAUUCUUCUAUCUACCGCCAUUCGAAUCAAUCGAUCCAACGAAAGAUGUCAAACAUUAAUGUAAUUUUUUGUUGAAUUUUUACUUGUUUUACGUAAUAAAUGUUGUUUAAGUAGAUUC